UACGAAGGGGGCUAGCGUUGCUCGGAAUCACUGGGCGUAAAGGGUGCGUAGGCGGGUCUUUAAGUCAGGGGUGAAAUCCUGGAGCUCAACUCCAGAACUGCGUUUGAUACUGAAGAUCUUGAGUUCGGGAGAGGUGAGUGGAACUGCGAGUGUAGAGGUGAAAUUCGUAGAUAUUCGCAAGAACACCAGUGGCGAAGGCGGCUCACUGGCCCGAUACUGACGCUGAGGCACGAAAGCGUGGGGAGCAAACAGG
rnacentral:rRNA from 1 species